UUGCGGUGAAUACGUUCCCAGGUCUUGUACACACCGCCCGUCAAACCAUGAAAGUGACCAACACCCGAAGUCCGAUUCGUCGGCCUAAGGUGGGGGGCAUGAUUGGGGUU
rnacentral:rRNA from 1 species